GACGAACGCUGGCGGCGUGCUUAACACAUGCAAGUCGAACGAUGAACCCGGAGCUUGCUCCGGUGGAUUAGUGGCGAACGGGUGAGUAGCACGUGAGUAACCUGCCCUUGACUCUGGGAUAACUGCGGGAAACUGUAGCUAAUACCGGAUACGACCCUCGGCGGCAUCGCCAGGGGGUGGAAAGAAUUUCGGUCAAGGAUGGACUCGCGGCCUAUCAGCUAGUUGGUGAGGUAACGACUCACCAAGGCGACGACGGGUAGCCGGCCUGGGAGGGUGACCGGCCACACUGGGACUGAGACACGGCCCAGACUCCUACGGGAGGCAGCAGUGGGGAAUAUUGCACAAUGGGCGCAAGCCUGAUGCAGCAACGCCGCGUGAGGGAUGACGGCCUUCGGGUUGUAAACCUCUUUUAGCAGGGAAGAAGCGAAAGUGACGGUACCUGCAGAAAAAGCACCGGCUAACUACGUGCCAGCCGCCGCCGUAA
rnacentral:rRNA from 1 species